GAAAAAAGACCUCCUCCCCGGCCAGAGCCACGGGGUUGACCGAAGUAAACAAACCCAAUAGGAGUGGAUCUAUUCAGCUGAGAAAAGUCGUUGGGUUGUUGCCAUGUCUCGGUUAUACAAAGAAAGUCUAACUUACGAUCGGAGAUAAUGUCCUGGAUAAGAUGUUCCUUGCCUGUCAGUGAGCGGAUGUUGAGCAGAGCGAGAUUGAGUGAAGUGUUGUCCCAGCUGAUGGUGGUGCUAGCCGACGGAGCUAGGCGGGCUAACACGUUGUGGUCGACAGCCCGGUUGGUGGAGCGUGGAGGGCGACGAGAGCUGGACCAGAUGGACUGUACUGCUGUUGAACUGUUGUGGUGGAAAUUCCGGCGGGACCCUCGAUGGAUGUAGGGACUGGAAGGCGAUGUCCGGGUGAAGGUGCCUCCGGCGUGGGUCCUGGCAUGUGACAGCGCAUUCUGAGCAGGUUUUUUCCUCAGAUGCUGCUGUCACCUGCUCAACCACAAAAGAUCUGCAUCAAAUGUACAGCAAUAAAGAAUCAGAAAAGUGCUGUAAUAUAAGUUUGAAAUUACAGUAAUUAAAAUACACUACAACUUAAGA